CAAGCUUGUGUCUACAGGUCUG
rnacentral:miRNA from 1 species